rnacentral:tRNA from 1 species
ACGGAAAUGGCAGAUAAGUGCAUUAGAUUUAAGCUCUAAACAUAAAGAUUUUAAUUCUUUUUUUUGUA